CCUGGAACGGGACGCCAUAGAGGGUGAGAGCCCCGUCUGGUCGGAUACCUAGCCUCUGUAAAGCUCCUUCGACGAGUCGAGUAGUUUGGGAAUGCUGCUCAAAAUGGGAGGUAUAUGUCUUCUAAAGCUAAAUAUUGGCCAGAGACCGAUAGCGCACAAGUAGAGUGAUCGAAAGAUGAAAAGCACUUUGAAAAGAGGGUUAAAAAGUACGUGAAAUUGUUGAAAGGGAAGCGCCUAUGACCAGACUUGGGCCCGGUGAAUCAUCCAGCGUUCUCGCUGGUGCACUUUGCCGGGCACAGGCCAGCAUCAGUUUGGCGCGGGGGAUAAAGGCUUUGGGAAUGUGGCUCCCCCGGGAGUGUUAUAGCCCAUUGCGCAAUACCCUGCGCCGGACUGAGGUACGCGCAUUGCAAGGAUGCUGGCGUAAUGGUCAUCAGCGACCCGUCUUGAAACACGGACCAAGGAGUCGUCUUCGUAUGCGAGUGUUCGGGUGUCAAACCCCUACGCGUAAUGAAAGUGAACGCAGGUGAGAGCUUCGGCGCAUCAUCGACCGAUCCUGAUGUUCUCGGAUGGAUUUGAGUAAGAGCAUACGGGGCCGGACCCGAAAGAAGGUGAACUAUGCCUGUAUAGGGUGAAGCCAGAGGAAACUCUGGUGGAGGCUCGCAGCGGUUCUGACGUGCGAAUCGAUCGUCAAAUAUGGGCAUGGGGGCGAAAGA
rnacentral:rRNA from 1 species